AUUUGUUAUUUGUAGACUUUUUGAUAACCAUUCUGACAAGCAUGAGGUGAUAUCUCAUUGUUGUUUUGAUUUGCAUUUCUCUAAUAAUUAGCAAUAUUGAGCACAUUUUCAUGUUUCUGUUAGCCAUACGUGUAUCUUCUUUGGAGGAAUGUUUGCUCAGGUCUUCUGUCCAUUUUUUGAUUUUUUUGUUUUUUUUUUGAUAUUGAGUUGUGUGAGCUGUUUUUAUAUUUGGGAUAUUAACCCCUUGUUGGUCACAUCAUUUGCAAAUAUUUUCUCCCAUUCCAUAGGUUGUCUUUUCAUUUUGUUGAUGGUUUCCUUUGUUGUGCAAAAGCUUUUAAGUUUCAUAUUUUCCCAUUUCUUUUAAGGUUCAUUAAGGUCCCAUUUGUUCCUUUUUUCUUUUGUUUCCUUUGCCUUAAGAGACAGAGCCAAAAAAAUAUUGCUAUGAUAUAUGUCACAGUGUUCUGCCUAUGUUUACUUCUAGUAGUUUUAUACUAUCCCAUUUUACAUUUAGGCCUUUAAUCCAUUUUGAGUUUAUUUUUGUACAUGGUGUUAGAGAGUGUUCUAAUUUCAUUCUUUUAUAUGUAGCUGUCCUGUUUUCCCAGCACCACUUAUUGAAGAGACUGACUUUUCCCCAUUGUCUAUUCCUUCCUCCUUUGUCAUAGAUAGACCAUAGUGCAUGGGUUUAUUUUUUGGGCUCUCUAUUCUGUUCCAUUGAUCUAUGUGUCUCUUUUUGUGCCAGUACCAUACUGUUUUGAUUACUAUAGCUUUGUAGUAUAGUCUGAAGUCAGGGAGUAUGAUAACUCCAGCUUUGUUCUUUUUUCUCAAAAUUGCUUUGGCUAUUCAGUGUCUUUUGUGGUUCUAUAUCAAUUUUUGGAUUAUUUUUUCUAGUUCUGUGAAAAAUGUCAUGGGUAUUUUGAUAGAGAUUGCAUUAAAUAUGUAGAUUGCUUUAGGUUGUAUGGAUAUUUUAACAAUAGUAAUUCUUCCAAGCCACUUACACAGGAUAUCUUUCUGUCUCUUUGCAUCAGAAAUUUAUUUUUAAGGAACUUGAUGCAAAUAUUUACUUUUUGGGAGGAUAUUAUACAAGUAAUAAUAAUGACAAUACUUGAUACUUAAAUAAUGGUGUUGAUAUGCCAGGCUUGAUAUGCUUUAAACAUAUUAAUUUAUUUGGUCCUCAAUACAAUACUACAAAAUAGGUAUCAUUUUAUCAUCCUCAUUUUCCAAAUGUGAAAAACAAAGCACAGAGAGUAAGUUGUUUAAGGACACAAAGAAAGCACAUAGCAAGGGUGUGGUCAUAGAAAGUCCAUGCUUUUAAUCACUAAGCUAUAUUGCUUCUCAAGAACAAAGACUACUUUCUAUAUUUAAUUCAAUUAAUAUACCAAGAAAGUUUGUAUAAGGUGGAUAACAUUGUCUCUAUUUGAAAAAUUAGGGAACUGAGGUUCAUAAAGGGGAGAUAACCUUCCAAACAUCACAGAUAUUAUAAGUGUACAAGUCUAAAAUUUCACUGAGAUUAAGUAUCCUUUUUCAUGAAACUGGUUCUAAAUCUGUAAUUCUCAUCCUAUCACAUGUAGACAAUGAAACAAUAUACAUCUAUGAAUGCAGUAUUCUCAAAAAUAUGUACUUAUCGGCUAUGCAUCUCAAUACCCAACUUCUUUGUAUAUCCUGUUACACAGUGUUCUUGAUGGGGGCAUGAAAAAACAGGAUAUGUGUUGAUAGGGCUAUGUUAGGACUGAUACCAGUCAUGUAGGAGGCACUCAAUCCAUAUUGAUUGAAUGAAAUUCCAUAAUUUUGUCCAUCAGUCAUCUCCUUUUAGAAAGAGAUUCAGUGGACAUUCCUCACAGCAGUUGAAAAUUAGGCACUGGGGUUUUGUUUGUUUGUUUUUGUUUGUUUUCUAGUUUUCAGAGUAGUUUCAAAUUUUGUCUUUCUCAAUAUUUUCAUUGGUAUGUGAAUGUGGAAUGCAAAUGAACUUUUGUUACUGCAUGUUCACAGUACUAAAGAUAGUUUUGGACAGAUGAUAAGCAUUUAAUCAAUAUUUGUUGAAAGGAUAAAUGGUGAGAGAAGACACAUCUGGGAAACAAAUAUCUACUUUCAUUAGAAGCAAAAUUUGUUUUGAGGAUAAAAUUAUUUGAUAUUAAUAUAUGCAAAAAACUAUGUGUUUCUUUUUGAAAAAUGGUUAAGGUUUCACCAAAGAUUUUGGUGUCUCUCAAAUAUAUUUGGGAAAACUAUUAAACAUACUUUAGUUAACCUCAUGACUAGUAACUUUUUUACAGUUUAAAGUAAAUUUAUAUAUAUUAACCCUAAGAAUCUAAGUGUGUAAGAUAUUAAUGAAUAGUAUUAGUAUGUUACAGAAGUUAUUUACAUUAAUGAAUCCAUUACUGAUUUAUAUAAAAUAAUUUUUCAAAGUUUAUGAAUGAUAUAAUUAAGAUGUUAUACUUUUGUUUGAAUAUCCAUAGCUCGGUCCGUUUUUAAGACAUUCUGUUCUGAGAAGAACAUUUAAUGUCACUCUAUCAAAUCUUUUCCCAAUUAAAAGAGAAAAUGCUUCAAUUAUAGAACAAAAGAACAAACAAAAACACCUGGUAAGUGUGCUUGCUUGUCCUCACUGAAUCACAUGGCUGCUACAUUUUUACAGUCCAUAAUUUAACUGUCAUACAGAAUCUCUGGGUGACAUAAACUUUUUCUGUUUUCAAAGCAGUAUAUUUGCAUCCCUCUUCUAAAGAUUGGUUAUAUUUAUGGCCCCAAGGAGUAAUUAAGGGAUUAUAGUAGAGGACAAUCUGCAUGCUUCUAGAAAUGAGUACUAAUCUGGUCAAGAAGAGCUAUUACAUUUUCAUUUUUAUAAAGCCUGCUUUUCAUUUACCUUUGUUGCCAAGAUAGAAGAGUUACCUUAAUGAGGUAAAGGUGACAGACUUUCUUUUAAUUAACAUGUUUUUCAAUACAAAGUAAUUGAAAAUUAAGGCAAUGCUUAAGUCAGUUAUUGUGAGAUUACAUUUCAUUGAUAUUUAGGCUUUUUUGACCAAAUUGUACAAGCAAGCAAGAUUGCACUAAGAUAGAUAAAUAGCUGCUAUUGAAUUAUGGGUUAAACACUGACUAUAUAAUAAUGACUGUGACAGUGGUUUCGACUUUGAUUUGGGGGGCGGGGAGGGGGCUGGAUUUAAACAAUUUGAUGUUAUUGUAUUCCAGACAAAAAUUCCUUUUCACUUCGGUAUCCAUACCACCAAGUGGCAUUAUAUUUCAGGAACUAACUGAGAUUAUAUUAAUUGCUAGGGAACUAGACUCUAAACAGAAAAUUAUUUAUUAAAGUAUUACAAUAAAAUAUAAACUUUAAUAUCUGAUAUAUCAUUAGACUACUUACUGGUCAGUAGAUCAAAUUCAUAUAGAUGUCAUCUGAGUUUAUUCCUGCUUACAGUCUAGACCUCUGCUGUCCAUUAUGGUAGCCACUAACCACAUGUGACUAUUGAGCACCUGAAAUGUGGCUAUUUCAGUUUGAAAUGAGCUGUAAAUCUGAAAUGCACACCAGAUUUUGAAAACUUAAUUUGACAAAAAAGAGUAUAAAAUAUCUAAUUAAUAAUAUUUUAUAUUAUAUGUUGAAAUGAUGAUAUUUAAGAUAUAUUGUGUUAAAAUAUACCAUUAUGCUUAUUUUCAUCUGUUUAUUUUUACUUGUUUAAUAUGGUCAUAGGCUCAUAUUAUAUUUCUAUUGAACAGUGAGGAUCUAGAACAUCCAUGUUUAGGAACAGUGAAUUCAUCAGUAAAUUAUGCUGAAAAAGAAGGUCUACAAUAAUGUCUCAUUUUCAAUUCCAUUUCACACACUAUCCUUUUUUUUUUUCGCAGUACGUGGGCCUCUCACUGUUGUGGCCUCUCCCGUCGCGGAGCACAGGCUCCGGACACGCAGGCUCAGCGGCCAUGGCUCAUGGGCCCAGCCGCUCCACGGCAUGUGGGAUCUUCCCAGACCAGGGCACGAACCCACGUCCCCUGCAUCGGCAGCAUCAGCAGGUGGAGUCUCAACCACUGAGCCACCAGGGAAGCCCCACACAUUAUAAUUUUGCUUCUGUUAUAUGUUUUGUUAUGACAGGGAGCAAUAGCCCAUUAACUUUACUCAUAAUCAUUAUUAAUAUGCAGUAUUUCCUUUAAAAUACAAAUAUUUAAAAGCUAUUUCAUUUAAUUUAAAACCACUGCCUUACCAUUUAUGGUAUAAUUGUCAUAAUUUUCAAUUCUAUAUCUAUUUUUGACCCCGAAGGGGUUAUUAUCAUUUCUUGAGUUAUAUUCAUUUAGAUUCACCCAUGUGUUUAUCUGUUCCACUGCUCUUCAUUCUGUCUUUCAUUUCUAUGCUUCUAUUUGGGAUCAUUAUUCUUCUAUCUAAUGAACUCCUUUUAAUGUGUAGGUUCAUGUAGAUUUGCUGUUGAGGAGUCCUCUCAGUUUUUGUUCAGAAACAUUUUUAUUUCAUUUUCAUUUUUGAGGAAUAUUUUUCCUGGAUAAAGAAUUCCUGGUUCACACAUAUUUUCUUUCAGCAUUUUAAAGAUGUCACUUCAUUACCUUCUGCAUGUUUCUUUUAUGAAAUAUUUUUUCUUUGAAUAUAAUGUCUUAUCUGGCUGCUUUUUCAAAUGUUCUUUAUGCAUUUUAAAAAGUUAAUUUUACUCUAAUAUGCCUAGGUUUUCUUUCUCUCCACCACAGUCCUCCUUGGUAUUUGCUGAAGUUCUGGAUUGUGUGGAUUGAUGUCCUUUUCAGUUGUGGAAAAUUUUCACACAUUAUCUAUUAAAAUAUUGCUUUUAUAACAUUUUAUAACAUUCUCUCUCUUCUUACUUUGAAAAUAUAAUUACAGAUAUUAAAUCUUUUUAUUGUAUGUCAUAUAUCCUGUAUUUCUUUUCUAUAUUACAGACUCUUUUCUCUCUGUACUUCAGUCUGUAUAUUUGCAAACAAUCUCUCUUCUAGAUCACUAAUCCUCUCUUCAAUAGUCUAAUCUGCAGUUAAACACAUCUGUUGCAUUCUUAAUGUCAAUUAUAUUUUUAAUUCUAUAAUUUCCAUUUGAUUAUUGUUUAUAAAUUCCAGUUACAUGGUGACAUUCUCCAUCUCAUCAACAAUUUUGUUAAGCAUCUUACUCCAUUAUUUUAAAGGCUAUAAUACAUAAUUCCAACUCUGAUUCACCUUUGGAUCUGCUCAUACUGUUUAUUUUCUUAGUUUCUGUCUUUUAAUUCUAUCUCCUGGCAUGCCUAAUAAAUUUGAUUAAAUGUUGGUUUUAGCUUAUGAAAAAUUAUAGAGAUAAUUUGAUGUUUUGUCUCAUACUAUCUUCCUCCAGACAGAAUAUUCUUCUGCUUUCUCUCAGGCACCUUAGAUAUGGAGCAAACCAAUUUUUUCCACUGUGGGAUUUUGCUUGUUUAGGGCUGAGCUUCACAUUUUUGUGAGAAUUGAUCUAAUUCUCAUCAUCCAUGUUCCUAAGGUAUAUUUCUAUGAUUCUAACAGGAAGUCAGUGGCAAUCACUAGAGUUCCUCCCCUAACAUUUUUUCCUCCAUCCUGUGAAACUGCCAAACACUCUGUGCAGAUGCCCAGACCUUACCUUCCACUUCUGACUCUACUUCUUAGACUCUUGACCCAACAUCAAAUAAAAUUUAGCAAUGGCUUGAGGGGCAAAAAACCCCGACACAAUGCUAGACUUUCAUCAGUGUUCUCUUUUCUUUGGAACUUUUGUCUCCUCAAGUCCUGCUAUCUUGGACCUGAACUCUAAGGUUUGUUUCUAUAGACCCUAAGAAGGCCAGAACCUCAGCUUACAUUCCUAUCUACUUUGUGGCUGUCUUCUUAGCCUUAGGAAUUACAACAGUCCUCCAAGGCAAUGUUACACUCAAAGUUGUGCCCUCCCCAUCCUUACCACCAGGUUCCUGGCCCUUACAAGACACGGUUGUCUGUGUAGCUCUCCAUUCUCUUGACUAGAUAUAAACAAAAAUAAAUUCCCUAAUUUCUCUCAGAGACUUGGUCUGCAACAAGUUACUCUGCCAUAUCUGAAAUUCUUCCUUUACUACAGUUUGCCAAGCUCUUUGCCUUUUACCACUCAAUUCUUGAAAUCGUGUGUCUUUGAUGAACAUUUAUAACUAAAUAUAAUAUUUCCUAGACAUGUAACUAUAUGCUCAUCACCCAACUAAAAGUAUACAGUAUUUUUAAGAAAGUAUAUUUAUUAACUUACUUGCAUAUUUAUUUCUCUGAGGAUUAUUAUUGUCACAUUAUAAACUAAAAGAACAUGUUAAGAUUAUGUUUAAUUAUUUAUUUUUACAUGGUGCCACAAAAUAAGUCCUUCAAAAACGUUUUCAUGUCCCAGAUGUGCCCACCCACAUCCCAAACCCUCUGUGCAAUAAACCUUCAGAAGACAAAGCAGACUAGCUCCUUGUUCAAUAUUUCCACUACAGAUGAACAAAAAGACUGAUUCCAUCUUUUCUGUUUAUAUACUCUCCUAUCAUUACCACUAGAGAACCUCAAGUAAAGGACAUCAGAUUUGGAUUCAGAAUUAUUCUGCAUUUCAGUAAAUAUAGUGUCAUUUAGAGGCUCCCUCCUUUAAUUAACUUUCAGGAAAAACAAUUUUAUUUCACAAUUAGGGAGGAGUUUAAUGUUUGGCUGAGCUACUACAUUAACUCUAAAGAAAAAUGAGUGAGUUAACAUGUUCAAGUGGCUGCUAUCAGCUCCAUGCAUGUUUGGGUGAAGGGGGAGCAAGCUAAAUAACAGAGGAGUGUUGGAUGAUUGAACAUUGGGAAAGAAUUACUAACUGAAUGUCAAAUAGCAAGGAUAAUGUCACCAAAACAAAUUCUCUGGACUUCACAGGUUUAGCCUGGAUCAAAUAACCACAUUUUGCUCAACUGUUCCUGGUCAUAAUGGAAAUAAACAUAAAAUAUUUUUGGCAUGUAUAGUCUCACAUACAUGAAACUUCGUGAAAAAAUUGAUUUCUCCUAAGAUGAAACCUAGUACAGCCUUUUAUGUGCUACAAGUACAUUUUAAAACCAAUUAUAUUAUAAAGUAUCUUCAUUCCCCAAAUAUUCAUCAAUGAAUAAAUCAGUAUAUCAAAUUAUAUUUUGAAAGUUUUAUCAUUUAUUUAGUUGUGACUUCUGUCAGUUGAUACUUCAUCUUAUUAAAUUCACUAUUAUUACGAUGUAACAUCCAAACAAUUGCAGUUAUAAUAUGUAUUUUAAUAUAUACUUUCAAGUACCCUGAAUCUCUAGAAGAGUCAUUAGGACAAUCCAAAAGCUAGGAUUUGGGCAUAAUAUGAACUACUUGAUAUCAGUGAUACUUAGUCAAUUUGGUUAGGGGCAAAAAGGUAUUUUGUGAAAUUUUUGUAUAUUUUUAAAUUUGAGGUAAUGUAACUAGAGGAGCAAUCUGAGAGAAUAUUUUGGCUUAGGUUGAGUAGUACAAUAAAGUCACCACUUACUGAAACAGGCUUUCUUUCCCCACAGAUAUAUUCCAAAGUUAUUAUCUAUUAAUAUAAAGGUAAGCUGACAGUUCUCUCACAAAGAAGUAAUUCCAUUUUGAUGAUGUCCUCCAUCAGCUGCUCAAAGAAACAUAAUUGCUCUUCUAACCUCAAGAGAUAGAAAAAUCUGCUCUUGCAAGACAUUUAAUUAUUUUUUCCUCAAAAAUGUUCCUAUUACAAAAACAGUAUGUGUAUUUGUUGCAUUCUUUCUCAAUGUAUAUUACUAGUGCUUUCAUACAAAAUAUAAUGCUGAAUAAAGACAUCUGAUGAAAAGUC